rnacentral:tRNA from 1 species
GGGCUAUAGCUCAGUUGGUAGAGUGUCUGCCUUGCAUGCACAAGGCCCUGGGUUCGAUCCCCAGCCCA